rnacentral:tRNA from 3 species
GCGCCCGUGGUGAAAUGGAUAUCACAGGAGCCUCCGAAGCUUCUAGUGCAGGUUCGAUUCCUGCCGGGCGCACCC